rnacentral:misc_RNA from 1 species
GAUGAAGAACGCAGCGAAAUGCGAUAAGUAAUGUGAAUUGCAGAAUUCAGUGAAUCAUCGAAUCUUUGAAAGCACAUUGCGCCCCCUGGUAUUCCGGGGGGCAUGCCUGUCCGAGCGUCAUUACAACCCUCAAGCUCAGCUUGGUGUUGGGCCCCGCCGCCCCGGCGGGCCCUAAAGUCAGUGGCGGUGCCGUCCGGCUCCGAGCGUAGUAAUUCUUCUCGCUCUGGAGGUCCGGUCGUGUGCUCGCCAGCAACCCCCAAUUUUUUUCAGGUUGACCUCGGAUCAGGUAGGGAUACCCGCUGAACUUAAGCAUAUCAAUAAGCGGAGGA